AAUAGAUACCCAGGUAGUCCAUGCCGUAAACGUUGGGCACUAGGUGUGGGGCUCAUUCCACGAGUUCCGUGCCGCAGCAAACGCAUUAAGUGCCCCGCCUGGGGAGUACGGCCGCAAGGCUAAAACUCAAAGGAAUUGACGGGGGCCCGCACAAGCGGCGGAGCAUGCGGAUUAAUUCGAUGCAACGCGAAGAACCUUACCAAGGCUUGACAUGCACGGGAAGCCACCAGAGAUGGUGGUCUCUUUGGACACUCGUGCACAGGUGGUGCAUGGUUGUCGUCAGCUCGUGUCGUGAGAUGUUGGGUUAAGUCCCGCAACGAGCGCAACCCUGUCCCAUGUUGCCAGCGGGUUAUGCCGGGGACUCAUGGGGAGACCUGCCGGGGUCAACUCGGAGGAAGGUGAGGAUGACGUCAAAUCAUCAUGCCCCUUAUGUCUUGGGCUUCACGCAUGCUACAAUGGCCGGUACAAAGGGCUGCGAUACCGUAAGGUGGAGCGAAUCCCAAAAAGCCGGUCUCAGUUCGAGUUC
rnacentral:rRNA from 1 species